UACGUAGGGUGCGAGCGUUGUCCGGAAUUACUGGGCGUAAAGCGCGUGUAGGCGGUUGUCCAAGUCGGGGGUGAAAGCCUUGAGCUCAACUCAAGAAAUGCACUCGAUACUGGGCGACUAGAGUGCCGGAGAGGAUAGUGGAAUUCCCAGUGUAGUGGUGAAAUACGUAGAGAUUGGGAAGAACACCAGUGGCGAAGGCGGCUAUCUGGACGGUUACUGACGCUAAGACGCGAAAGCGUGGGGAGCGAACAGG
rnacentral:rRNA from 1 species